rnacentral:rRNA from 1 species
GAUGAACGCUGGCGGCGUGCCUAAUACAUGCAAGUCGAGCGAACAGACGAGGAGCUUGCUCCUCUGACGUUAGCGGCGGACGGGUGAGUAACACGUGGAUACCCUACCUAUAAGACUGGGAUAACUUCGGGAAACCGGAGCUAAUACCGGAUAAUAUAUUGAACCGCAUGGUUCAAUAGUGAAAGACGGUUUUGCUGUCACUUAUCGAUGGAUCCGCGCCGCAUUAGCUAGUUGGUAAGGUAACGGCCUACCAAGGCAACGAUGCGUAGCCGACCUGAGAGGGUGAUAGGCGACACUGGAACUGAGACACGGUCCAGACUCCUACGGGAGGCAGCAGUCGGCAAUCUUACGCAAUGGGCGAAAGCUUGACGGAGCAACGCCGCGUGAGUGAUGAAGGUCUUCGGAGCGUAAAGCUGUGUUAUUAGGGAAGAACAAAUGUGUAAGUAACUAUGCACGUCUUGACGGUAACUAAUCAGAAAGCCACGGCUAACUACGUG